UUCAUUGGUCCUCAGGUUCUAUCAG
rnacentral:piRNA from 1 species